GUAACAAGGUCUUCGUUGGUGAACCAGCGGAGGGAUCAUUACCGAGUUUUCAACUCCCUAACCCUUCUGUGAACCUACCUAUCGUUGCUUCGGCGGACUCGCCCCAGCCCGGACGCGGACUGGACCAGCGGCCCGCCGGGGACCUCAAACUCUUGUAUUCCAGCAUCUUCUGAAUACGCCGCAAGGCAAAACAAAUGAAUCAAAACUUUCAACAACGGAUCUCUUGGCUCUGGCAUCGAUGAAGAACGCAGCGAAACGCGAUAAGUAAUGUGAAUUGCAGAAUCCAGUGAAUCAUCGAAUCUUUGAACGCACAUUGCGCCCGCCAGCAUUCUGGCGGGCAUGCCUGUUCGAGCGUCAUUUCAACCCUCGACCUCCCCUUGGGGGGGUCGGCGUUGGGGACCGGCAGCACACCGCCGGCCCUGAAAUGGAGUGGCGGCCCGUCCGCGGCGACCUCUGCGCAGUAAUACAGCUCGCACCGGAACCCCGACGCGGCCACGCCGUAAAACACCCAACUUCUGAACGUUGACCUCGAAUCAGGUAGGACUACCCGCUGAACUUAAGCAUAUCAA
rnacentral:rRNA from 1 species